rnacentral:lncRNA from 1 species
GCCCCGCAGCCAAGUUAGCCAAAGCAGCCCAGGGCCGCCGCCCAGCGCCCCCGAGCCCCGAGGAGAGCCGUCGCGACCGGGGGCUGCCUGGGCAAGGGCGGGGCGAGAGGGCAGAACGCCUGCUCUCGGACAGGGUGUUCUUAAAAUACACCGGAAAGAACGGAGGUAAAAAUACUGGAGUGUUUCCUCCACACUGGAAAGAGAGGAGGUGGGGACGGAUAUGGUAUUUGUAGGGCAGCGCUGUGAACAAUGGAGCCAUCAAAAAGGCCUUCUCCCAGCCUCCUCACCAACCACGGACAUUCCUGGCCCAACAAGACCUCCUGGCCAGGUUUUGAGCCCUGCUUCCCAGAUCUGGGGACCCUUCACCUGCCUCUACUACUGCAAAUGAUUGGAUAUUCGUCUGACUUGGCUCUUCCCUAAUGUGUGGAACUAAUUUUGUUCACUCUGUUUCAUGCUGGACCUGGCCUGAAAAUGGGCCCUUAUAUUGUCUUUGCACUUUCCAACUUGCCAAGUUUCUGAAAGAAGGACCAAAGUAAUGCCAAGAACUCCCAGAUGAAGAGGACCUUCCUUAGACCUAUAACAGAUUCACUACUUGACUUCAGAGGGAAGUUUCAGCUAAUUCUCAGGAAAAGGUCAAAACAGGCCUGUGACUGUCCCUUGAAUACUGAAGGUAUAAACAAG